rnacentral:lncRNA from 1 species
ACUACAAAAAAGCGCGUAUUUACCGGCGAAAACUACCGGCGGCGAUUUUGCCGUCGGUAGAUAACGGCGGCAAGGCGGCGGCAUUGCAGGCGACCCGAAAUUUCGAAAUUACCGGCCAGUUACCGACGGCAAACUCGCCGCCGGUAUGUAACGGCGGCGUCGCCGUCGUUAAUGUUAAAAUACGCAUUAUUUAAUUAAAUUUAUAGACUUAGCGGCGGCAAAAUCCCCGCCGCUAGAUAGCGGCGGCAUUUGCCGUCGGUAACCUUUAAAAUAUAGGGCAGCGGGUUUGCCCAUUUUUUCAGUAUCUGCGC